rnacentral:tRNA from 1 species
AAGUAAAUGACAGAGUGGCUAUGUGACUGGCUUGAAACCAGUUUAUGGGGGUUCAAUUCCUCCUUUUCUCG